rnacentral:rRNA from 1 species
AGGAAUAUUGGUCAAUGGACGAGAGUCUGAACCAGCCAAGUAGCGUGCAGGAAGACGGCCCUAUGGGUUGUAAACUGCUUUUAUAAGGGAAUAAAGUUAGUCUCGUGAGACUUUUUGCAUGUACCUUAUGAAUAAGGACCGGCUAAUUCCGUGCCAGCAGCCGCGGUAAUACGGAAGGUCCGGGCGUUAUCCGGAUUUAUUGGGUUUAAAGGGAGCGUAGGCCGGAGAUUAAGCGUGUUGUGAAAUGUAGACGCUCAACGUCUGCACUGCAGCGCGAACUGGUUUCCUUGAGUACGCACAAAGUGGGCGGAAUUCGUGGUGUAGCGGUGAAAUGCUUAGAUAUCACGAAGAGCUCCGAUUGCGAAGGCAGCUCACUGGAGCGCAACUGACGCUGAAGCUCGAAAGUGCGGGUAUCGAACAGGAUUAGAUACCCUGGUAGUCCGCACGGUAAACGAUGGAUGCCCGCUGUUGGUCUGAAUAGGUCAGCGGCCAAGCGAAAGCAUUAAGCAUCCCACCUGGGGAGUACGCCGGCAACGGUGAAACUCAAAGGAAUUGACGGGGGCCCGCACAAGCGGAGGAACAUGUGGUUUAAUUCGAUGAUACGCGAGGAACCUUACCCGGGCUUGAAUUGCAGAGGAAGGAUUUGGAGACAAUGACGCCCUUCGGGGCCUCUGUGAAGGUGCUGCAUGGUUGUCGUCAGCUCGUGCCGUGAGGUGUCGGCUUAAGUGCCAUAACGAGCGCAACCCCUCUCCUUAGUUGCCAUCAGGUCAUGCUGGGCACUCUGGGGACACUGCCACCGUAAGGUGUGAGGAAGGUGGGGAUGACGUCAAAUCAGCACGGCCCUUACGUCCGGGGCUACACACGUGUUACAAUGGCAGGUACAGAGAGACGGUCCCUUGCAAAAUGGAUCAAAUCCUUAAAGCCUGUCUCAGUUCGGACUGGGGUCUGCAACCCGACCCCACGAAGCUGGAUUCGCUAGUAAUCGCGCAUCAGCCAUGGCGCGGUGAAUACGUUCCCG